UACGAAGGGGGCUAGCGUUGCUCGGAAUGACUGGGCGUAAAGGGCGCGUAGGCGGCUUGCACAGUCAGGCGUGAAAUUCCUGGGCUCAACCUGGGGACUGCGCUUGAGACGUGUGGGCUUGAGUGGGGAAGAGGGUCGUGGAAUUCCCAGUGUAGAGGUGAAAUUCGUAGAUAUUGGGAAGAACACCGGUGGCGAAGGCGGCGACCUGGUCCUUGACUGACGCUGAGGCACGAAAGCCAGGGGAGCAAACGGG
rnacentral:rRNA from 1 species